UUCCAUGGUCCAAGAGAAAAUGUCAUGAGCCUGAGGUCAUAAGAUCAGCAAGCACUAGGGCAGAGUGUCAGACCCAGGACCAUCAACUUCCAAGGUGCCAGCUCUCUGCCUUUGCCAGGUUGCUUCUCAUUGUCAGCCAUCGUCUCCUUUCUCCAGCCCUUGAAAGAGUUUUCCUGUUCUCUCAGUUAGCUCUGCUUCUCAGAAUGAGACUACAUUGGCAGCAUCGCCAAUCUCCAGGUGGAUUUCCCAUUUAACAGAUGAAAAACUGAGACUGAGUCAGAGACCUAGGAUGGGACUCCACUCUGAGAAAUGUUUGCCAGCUGCCUAAGACAAGGAACAGACUCCCUUUUUACCAAAGCACAUAUGACCGCCUGGAAUGAAGACAGUAUUUCCAGCUCCUUCACAGCUGGGAGUGGUCAUGAGACAAAGUUCUGACCAAUGAGAUGCAAGAGGUGUGAUGAGAGGCUUUCCAGAAGGCCCAUCUCUUUAGAGAGAUAGGGACUAUAUAGUGAACUUGAAGUUAGAGGAGGCUCUAGAGGCUUGUGGAAGAGAAAGAUUGAACCUUGGUCUCAAAGCCACCAUCCCAUCCCAUCACCAAAGGCCUAGACCAUCUCUACACAGCUUCUUUUAUGGGAGAGGCAAAGAAGCUUUUGUUAACCUAAGCCCCUUUCCAGAAACUGCUUUCAGCUGUAUUCAGCUAAAGUUAUCUUCGCUGUUUGAUUCUGGAAAAGGCUCCUGCUCUCUGAUCCUGUUUCUCCAACUGCAAGAUGAAAAUGCCAAUAUGACACAGAGGAGAACAGCACACUGGACACCCCAUCCCUUCCCAUUUUCUCAGCACAUUCUCACUUGGCAUCUGUCAUAGGUCAAGCAUUGACAACAUGGUAGGAACACAAAGGCAAAAGAUAAAAGGAAUCCAGUCAAUACAAGUUGUCUUAUGAUUAUCUUUCUUACUGUUCCUUAUUUUUAUUUUUUCUCAAUGAAAAUGUACCAACGAACAUGGUCCCUGCCUGGGACAGGCCCUGGGCCCAGGGCAAGUAUAUUCAGCAAACAAUAAUACAAAGACAACAAAUAUUUUUUCAGUAUAAAUAUGUCACAUGCCAUCAUUUUUUAUACUGAAAAUGUAUUCAUUGUUUAUCUAAAAUUAAGAUUUAAAAAAAAACAAAAAAAAUAAAAUUAAGAUUUAACUGGAUGUCUUGUGUUUUAUCUGACAAGCUUCCCUGGGGCUACCACAGCGAAUAAGACUCAAAUAUCUGGUUCUUCAAAGAGUGCCUUUCCUUGUGGAGGGGAUGGCAAAUAAGCCAGUGGGCAGCUCAGUAUCAUCACUGAUGGUAGGGUUGAGCAACAUGAAG